rnacentral:rRNA from 1 species
UACAGAGGGUGCGAGCGUUGUCCGGAAUCACUGGGCGUAAAGGGCGCGUAGGUGGCGACCCAAGUCCAUGGUGAAAGCUCGAUGCUCAACAUCGAGUCGGCCACGGAUACUGGGUUGCUCGAGCACUGUAGAGGCUAAUGGAAUUCCGGGUGUAGCGGUGGAAUGCGUAGAGAUCCGGAAGAACACCGGUGGCGAAGGCGGUUAGCUGGGCAGUUGCUGACACUGAGGCGCGAAAGCGUGGGGAGCAAACAGG